AGUUGAAAAGAACUUUGAAGAGAGAGUUCAAGAGUACGUGAAACCGUUCAGGGGUAAACCUGAGAAACCCGAAAGAUCGAAUGGGGAGAUUCAUCGUCA
rnacentral:rRNA from 1 species